rnacentral:rRNA from 1 species
AUUGAACGCUGGCGGCAUGCUUUACACAUGCAAGUCGAACGGCAGCACGGGUGCUUGCACCUGGUGGCGAGUGGCGGACGGGUGAGUAAUGCAUCGGAACGUGUCCUAAAAGUGGGGGGAUAACGCAUCGAAAGAUGUGCUAAUACCGCAUAUUCUCUGAGGAGGAAAGUAGGGGAUCGAAAGACCUUAUGCUUUUGGAGCGGCCGAUGUCUGAUUAGCUAGUUGGUAGGGUAAUGGCUUACCAAGGCGACGAUCAGUAGUUGGUCUGAGAGGACGACCAGCCACACUGGGACUGAGACACGGCCCAGACUCCUACGGGAGGCAGCAGUGGGGAAUUUUGGACAAUGGGCGCAAGCCUGAUCCAGCAAUGCCGCGUGAGUGAAGAAGGCCUUCGGGUUGGUUAAAGGACGUCUUUUCCUAGUUUAGGUAGGUAAAGGAAAAAAGUUAGUAGUACUAAUAAAU